GUGAGAAGGCUGCUGGAGAGGGAUGGGUCCAGGGGACAGCUUCGGUCUCAGAGGAUGGGAGGAAAGGUGGCGCUGUGAGCCACAAGAGAGGAGCUGGGAGGGCUGACUGGUUUGAGAUGGGGAAAACAGGAGAUUGAGGGAGCAAGUCAAGCGGCUGCAGAGGCUACCAAACCGGUGUAAAGUCCCCGAAGCCCUGGGAAGAGCAGGUUUUAAGAAGUAGAACGGCGUCGUCGUGAUUUCAAGCAGCCGCUAGAUGCCAGAUAUUGGCUGGCUGUGGGCCUCUGAGGAGCACAGAGCCGGGCCUGGUAGAAGUCUGGGUGGGCAGCUUUGGUGGCCGCAGAUGCACAGGUGAUGUGUCUCAGAGCUGACUUGCUGACUCCACCGAUCGGCUGCUGGUGUGGAAGGCCACGUUCACAGGAGACAAGGAACCCACAGAGAAAAGGAGCACGCUGAGUCAAGAGGACAAAGGGCCGGCACCCUCCACGAACAGGGACUUCGAGAAGACAGCUAUGCCUUUAGCAAGGUGGAAACAACCCAAGUGGCUGUUGACGGAUGAGCAGAAAAAAAGAUGGUAUAGACACGCAAUGGAGUAUUAGCCUUAAAAAGGAAGGAAAUUCCAACACAUGCUACAACAUGGAUGAACCUGGAGGACAUUAUGCUAAGUGAGAUCUAACAGCAAUUCACGAUAUUUUUUACUCGGACUGCAUCCCAGGAGGAAUGUGAGGAGAAAUUCUUCAGAUAGCCAAGGAGGCCAUGUGAAGACACAAAGAGACACACAGGGAAGAAGACUACGUAAAGACAGAGACAAAGACUGGAGUGAUGUAUCUCCAGGCUAAGGAAUGCCAUGGAUUGCUGGUGACCACCAAGAGCUAGGAGACAGACACGGAAGGACUGUCUCUUAGAGCCUCUGGAAGGAAGCCAUCCUGCCAACACCUUAAUUUUGGACUUCCAGCCUCUGGAACUGUAAGGGGAAAAAAAAUUCUGUUGUUUUAAGCCACCCAGUUUGUGGUACUUUGUUACAGCAGCUCCAGGAAACUAACACAGAGAGGAAAAGUGGGAGGAGAAAGGCAGGACAUCUGUCCUUUGGGCUGGGGGCACCUUGGUCACCGGGAUUACGUGUAGGGGAGACAACCCACUGCAAGGCAAUGAGCGGACGUCAUGAGGUCUGUGAGCACAGAGUAAAGCCCUGUUCUGCACUUAUUACCUGCAGGACUGUGGAAAGGCAUUUCACCUGCCUCAUGUGCAAAAUGAGUAAUUACAAUUAAAUGGGAUUUUGUAUGUAAAGCCCAUCAUCAAACCCGCUGAGUGGACAGUAAAUGCUGCUGUUGUUUGAGUUCAAUUACUAGAACCUGUGUAUAAGAAUCUGGGUGAAAACUGCAAUUAUCAGCACCAGGUCCCAAGGUCAGGGCCUGACUUCUAAGAUCAGGACAGGCGAGAGACCCUUUUUAGGCUCUCAAGUCUUGAAUCCAGAUAGCCCAGAGACCGGGUUAGCUGAGUCCAUGGCCAAGGUCAUUAGUCUCUGCUGUGAUUGAGAGGAGGCAUUUGUGGCUGGGAAAUCAGGUCUAGGGCAGUGCUCCCCACACUCCUGCAAACUGGACUCUCCUGGGAUUUUAAAAAAAAUACAUGGACAUCUGGCUCCUACCCUCAGACAUGCUGAUGUCAUUGGUUUGGGGUAUGAACUAAGCACCAUGAUUUUUUCUGAAAAAAGCUUCCCAGGUGAUUUCCAUGUGCAGUCAUGUUUGGAAACCACUGGCCUAAAGUCAGGUUUCAAAUCUGAUCUAAAACAAUUGAGCACGGUUCUUAUAGAGAAUAGUCAACUGGUAGCUUUUCUUCAAGGGCAUUGGAAUUACGAAUGGCACAAAGAACAUAAAAAAAGUAUUUA